rnacentral:rRNA from 1 species
GUGGGGAAUCUUCCGCAAUGGACGAAAGUCUGACGGAGCAACGCCGCGUGAGUGAAGAAGGUUUUCGGACUGUAAAGCUCUGUUGUUUAGGACGAAAGUGCCUGUUGCAAAUAGUUACAGGUAUUGACGGUACUGAACGAGGAAGCCACGGCUAACUACGUGCCAGCAGCCGCGGUAAUACGUAGGUGGCAAGCGUUGUCCGGAAUUAUUGGGCGUAAAGAGCAUGUAGGCGGGAAUCUAAGUCUGUUGUGAAAAUGCGGGGCUCAACCCCGUAUUGCGAUGGAAACUGGGUUUCUUGAGUGCAGGAGAGGAAAGGGGAAUUCCCAGUGUAGCGGUGAAAUGCGUAGAUAUUGGGAGGAACACCAGUGGCGAAGGCGCCUUUCUGGACUGUGUCUGACGCUGAGAUGCGAAAGCCAGGGUAGCGAACGGGAUUAGAUACCCUGGUAGUCC